AUGAGUUCGAGGCCAGCUCGGAGCCUGUGUUUGUCUCUGUCUUUGUUCUAUGUUAAGGCAUUGAAUGUUUGCCUUAUAUGUGUAAUGUGAUCUGCUCUGAGAAGGAUGGAAUAUAAAUACUGUAAAUAAAUAAAUACAAUAAAUAGACUGGGGGCAACUGUGUAGAAGGUGUGGGCCUCCUGAAUGCCUUUUUGGUUUAUUGUACAUGUGAUCCCGGCCAUGAAAGCCUUCGACAACACAUCCAACAGGUUCUAUUCUGUUAUAGGGUUUAGUGCUCUCUAUUUUGUCCAGAGAUUUUAUCGCAAGAGGCAAGUAGUCUAGUAUUGUUGCCUUGGGCUCAAGACACGAUGUUGUUCCUUUCCUGACACUCUCUAAAUGGGAAAGAAGGUCAUUCAUGGACUAUUAUUUGUGUUGGUUUCACACUGAGAGAACGACGGGAACGGAGAAGUCCAAGCCACAUUCACUGUUAUCCUGAUAGAAUUGCGAUUUGCCCCAGCUUCUGCCAACCUAGCAAUUCAAAAACAUGCAAAUGCAAAGCGUAUCCAUAGCAAAGAUCUGAGCGUUGCUCCGCUGAUACCAUUUGAGUGCCUUCCUGAAGGCGAUUGUCUGUUGCCAUGGGUUUCUUCAAGGCUUCCUUCGUCUUUGUAAUAAAGGUGACAUGAGGCCUUCCAGUGGGAAACGCCCUCCCGACAGAAAGUGUGGGCCACAAAUAAACUGAUCCAAAUCAAAUACUGACAAAUAAAAGUUCCUAAUGCUCACCCAGGAGGCAGCAGCGAAGGCUUUAUUGCUAUUUAUGUCGUCUAUCAAAAUACUCUUUCAAGGAAGUUGCCUGGUGCUUCGAUGUCUCCGAAAAGCCCAGGAUCCAUGAGUCAUUUCCUGCAAGAGAACCGCAUUUCAAAGCCUUUUCGACCAAGAACCUUCAAAUGUUUUAGCCGCUUGCGAAUUUGGAUCAGCUAGAGCAGUUCCCCUGCGUAUAAUGUUUGUGCUUAUUUAUUUAAUAAUGUUUGUAUUCCGUUGUUUAUAGUUGGACAAGUAAAGCCCCACAAGUGCAGUUGCUGCGCAUGGAGAUGCACAUUCCUAGAUAAUAAAUUUGUUAUUGAACACUAA